UAGGGAAUUUUCGUCAAUGGGGGCAACCCUGAACGAGCAAUGCCGCGUGAGCGAAGAAGGUCUUCGGAUUGUAAAGCUCUGUUGCCGGGGAAGAUAAUGACGGUACCUGACUAAGAAGCACCGGCUAAAUACGUGCC
rnacentral:rRNA from 1 species